rnacentral:rRNA from 1 species
UACGAAGGGGGCUAGCGUUGCUCGGAAUCACUGGGCGUAAAGCGCACGUAGGCGGGUCUUUAAGUCAGGGGUGAAAUCCUGGAGCUCAACUCCAGAACUGCCAUUGAAACUGUUUAGCUUGAGGAUGAGAGAGGUGAGUGGAAUUCCCAGUGUAGAGGUGAAAUUCGUAGAUAUUGGGAAGAACACCGGUGGCGAAGGCGGCUCACUGGCUCAUUACUGACGCUCAGGCGCGAUAGCGUGGGGAUCAAACAGG